rnacentral:tRNA from 1 species
AAUUAGAAAGCGAAGUAAUUGCAUUUAGUUUCGACCUAAAAUUUAGACCUUAUAGUCUUCUAAUUU